rnacentral:tRNA from 1 species
AGUAAUAUGUCUGAUUUAAGUAAUAAAUUGUAAAUUUAUUUAAGAAAUUAAUUUUCUAUUACUA